GAUGAACGCUAGCGGCAGGCCUAAUACAUGCAAAUCGAACGGUGUCUUCGGACAUAGUGGCGCACGGGUGCGUAACACGUAUGCAACCUACCUUACAUUGGGGGAUAGCCUUUCGAAAGGGAGAUUAAUACCGCAUAAGACAGUAGCUGGGCAUCCAGCAGCUGUUAAAGAUUUAUCGAUGUAAGCUGGGCAUGCGUCCAAUUAGCUAGUUGGUGAGGUAACGGCUCACAAAGGCAAUGAUUGGUAGGGGAACUGAGAGGUCAAUCCCCCACACUGGCACUGAGAUACGGGCCAGACUCCUACGGGAGGCAGCAGUAGGGAAUAUUGGGCAAUGGACGCAAGUCUGACCCAGCCAUGCCGCGUGCAGGAUGAAGGCGUUAUGCGUUGUAAACUGCUUUUAUACAGGAAGAAACGACUCUUGCGAGAGGCAUUGACGGUACUGUAUGAAUAAGCACCGGCUAACUCCGUGCCAGCAGCCGCCGCAGUAA
rnacentral:rRNA from 1 species